GAGAAAAGAUAACCCCGCCUGUCCUUCGCCUCCUCCAAUGAAAAGAUGUCCCAUAGCAGAUUCUUCAGGGCCUUUUUUUUUUUAAAACCAAUUGUGUGAGCAUAGCAUUUGAGUGUAGUUUUUACCCUUAAAUAGAAUGGUCUAUUCAACGGAAGCAAAGCAUUUAUUUGUCUGUGUACCCGUCUUUUUUUUCCCCUUUCUCUCAAACGUUGAGGAGGUCUAAAAUGACAGUUGCGACAUUGCCAGGUUUAUCUUUGGACAUCCAAGAUCCCACAACUACCCCACAAGCGGUUUUUCCCAAAUUAAAAAAGAAAACCUGGGCAAGUGAAUACCUGCUGGACCUUUAAUUGGGAAGACCCCGAGGCAGAGAAAGGUUUCAGAGAAAUGAAAAGUAUGUUUCCUCCCAAAAGAUUUAGUCCUUUGGGCUUAAUGAACUUGAAGUUUUAUGAUUCUGUCUGUCUGGAAGCAUUCUGGAAAGCCACAGAGGAGUUGAAAUUGAAAGAACUGUUCACAGAGGUCUCCAUUAUUCAAGAACUAGUGAAUCUCUUCUCUUAAGUCUGAGUUCUCCACAUUUGCCUAAGAAUGAGGAAAGAGAUUCCAUUUGGAAUGAGAGGAGAAAAGAAUUGUCUGUCAGAUAUUCUAUCAGAACUAUUAUGAAACAUACACUAAAAGACUUACCACAGUCUUCACUUGGGGCCUACAUUUUCCCUGGAGAAAUAUAUCUCUGGAGAGGAGAAGAAAGAAGAUAAGAGAGAAGGGCUCACCAGAAAAUCUGUAAGUCAAUUGAAAUGGAUUUUGGCACACAAUAACAUUCAUAUUGGACCUAGAAGAUUGCAGAAUGAAGAGAGCUGCUUAUCUCCACUGAUAUUUGAGUAGGUGAAGGGCAUUUCCAAAUUGGAGAAUCAUUCCACAGAGCAGCAGCACAUUUUCUCCAUCUUGCAAAUGUUUUAUCCUACUUGGUUUCAUCUAUCAUUGUCCUUAAAGUGAUGCCUCCAAUAGAAGUUAGCAUAAGGAUCUUGAAAUACUAUGGGUCUAGUUUUCUUAAGAUCUUAUAAUUCUAAUUUGUCUACAGCCUGCUUUCUUUACAAUCCAAGAAAAUAUUGGAGAGAAUUCUUUUCUGUUUUACUGAGCUAAAUGACUCAUAAAAGAUUUUUAAUGUGGAAAGAAAAUUAUUAGAACAUUAUGUCAUUAGUCAUAUUCCUUGGUUCAGUAAAUAAAAAGCGACAAGAGAACA
rnacentral:lncRNA from 1 species